UGGGGAAUAUUGCACAAUGGGCGCAAGCCUGAUGCAGCCAUGCCGCGUGUAUGAAGAAGGCCUUCGGGUUGUAAAGUACUUUCAGUCGGGAGGAAGGUGGUAAGGUUAAUAACCUUGGCAAUUGACGUUACCGACAGAAGAAGCACCGGCUAACUCCGUGCCAGCAGCCGCGGUAAUACGGAGGGUGCAAGCGUUAAUCGGAAUUACUGGGCGUAAAGCGCACGCAGGCGGUUGAUUGAGUCAGAUGUGAAAUCCCCGGGCUUAACCCGGGAAUUGCAUCUGAUACUGGUCAGCUAGAGUCUUGUAGAGGGGGGUAGAAUUCCAUGUGUAGCGGUGAAAUGCGUAGAGAUGUGGAGGAAUACCGGUGGCGAAGGCGGCCCCCUGGACAAAGACUGACGAUCAGGUGCGAAAGCGUGGGGAGCAAACAGG
rnacentral:rRNA from 1 species